UGCCAGCAGCCGCGGUAAUACGGAGGAUCCAAGCGUUAUCCGGAAUUACUGGGCGUAAGGAGAUGCGUAGGCGGUGUUAUAAGUAGAAUGUGAAAUCUCAGGGCUCAACCCUGAGGCUGUAUUCUAAACUGUAACGCUAGAGAACGAGAGAGGUAUUUGGAAUUCCAAGUGUAGGAGUGAAAUCCGUAGAUAUUUGGAGGAACACCAAUGGCGAAGGCAGAAUACUGGCUCGUUUCUGACGCUAAGGCUCGAAAGCGUAGGUAGCGAACGGGAUUAGAUA
rnacentral:rRNA from 1 species